UUGCUUCAGCAGCGCAUAUACUGAUUGGAACAAUACUGAGAAGAUUGGCAUGGCCCCUGCCCAAGGAUGACUUGAAAAUUCUUGAAGUCUUCCAUAUUCUU
rnacentral:snRNA from 1 species